rnacentral:lncRNA from 10 species
AGUCCUUCCGGGAGCUCCGGAGCUCCGGGGCUUCCACCACAUCUGCCGGCUCAGGACGGGUCGUGCUCAUCCCUUAACUUUUUAACUUUUUGUUGUUUCUAUUUAUAUUUUAUUGUGCUAUGUCUUGAAAUGUUGUUGUAGCUAUUACUUUUGAUUGGAUAUUACUUAGUAUUCCUACUUUAAAUAAGAGUAGUUUGCACACCACACAGCUAUAGUGUUAUAAUAUUCUGUUUUGUUUUGUAUCCUAUUAGCAGUGAGGAUUUUUUUUUACCUUUAGGUGAUCAUUUAUUACUCAUUAAUGUCCUUUUCUUCCUGAUUGAAGUACUCCCUUUAGCAUUCCUUUAGGACAGGAUUUGUCCCCAGUGCCUUAUUUAGUUCACUUGGUGAGGUCAUGUUUUCCUGGAUGGUGUUGAUGCUAGUAGAUGUUCUUCAGUGUCUGGACAUUAAAAUCUUGGGCAUGCAGCACCAUAUGAGAAGUUUAAAAAAUAAAAUUUAAAGAGAGAAAAGGCUUUGGUAUCAGGAUGAUUCUGGCCUCAUAGAACAAGAUGGGGAAGAGUCCCUCCUCCUCUAUUUCUUGAAAUAGUUUCAGUAGGACUGGUACUGGCUCUUCUUUGUACAUCUGUUAAAAUUUGUUAAUCUAUCAGGUCCUGGGCUUUUUGGGGGUUGGUAGGCUAUUUAUUACGGAUUCAAUUUUUGGAGCUCAUAAUUGGUCUGCUCAGAGACUGAAUUUCUUCCUGGUUCAGUCUUGAGAGAGUAUAUGUGUCCAGGAAUUUAUUAAUCUCUUCUAGGGUUUCUAGUUUGUGUGUAUAGAGGUGCUCGUAGUAGUUACUGGUUGUUAUUUUUUUUUCUCUGGGGUCAGUGGUAACAUUCCCUUCAUCAUUUCUAAUUUUCUUUAUUUGAAUCUUCUCUCAUCUUCUUUAUUAAUCUAGCUAGUGCCCUAUCUUAGUAAUUUUUUCAAAAAACCUUGAUUAAGUGAUCUUUUGAACAGUUUUUCAUGUCUCAAUUUCUUUCAAUUCAGCUCUGAUUUUAGUUAUUUCUUGUCUUCUAUAAGCUUUGUGGUUGAGUUCUCCUUGCUUCUCUAAUUCUUUCAGUUGUGAUGUUAGGUUGUUAAUUUGAGAUAUUUCUAAUUUUUUGAUAUGGGCAUUACUUCUUAUGCCCUACUCUAAAUUUUGUUCUUCUAGAAAACUCAGAACUAUGCUUUCUAAACCAAUUCAAACUUUCUCAGUGAAUCAACCUGGACUCCCUGAGGCCAAGUUAGCAAUUUUCCAUUACACUUGGUUCUCUUUCUCUGUAAGAAUAUCUAAUGCAACAAUUCAAGUGUUUCUUUCCCUCCUGGUAAUGCGGGGAACUCCUUUUGGCUGAGACCAAGACUUAAAACCUUGUUCUUUCAACAUUAAUGAAGAUCUAUUUAGAAAGCCUCCAUUUUUGCAGAAAAGAUAUAUAAACACCAAUGAAAAUCAAUAUGAAAUUAUAUGACAUACAAUUAUAUUGUGGAAAGACUGAAUAAAUAAGUGAACUAAGCUCUAAGAAAAAAAGAUGAUGAUAUAAAAUGAUAUAGAAGUAAAAACCUGGGCUGGUAUAGCAUAAUUAAUGUAUCAGUAAAGUAUGUACAUUGUAGAAGUGGCAGGAAGACAGCAUAGAGAGUGAGACCUGACCAAAAGCUUUAAGGAAAGUUCUAUACCCUUAAACGAGAUUAAAGUGGACUCAGGAAAACAUGGGCCACAUGAGGGGAAGGACACAUGUUCCAGAUGAGCCAAAGCUCAGAGCAUCUCUACCUUCUCCAGGAGGAAAGGGGAGGCAAAGCAGCAGGCAGAAGACAGCACGGCCAGGUCAGCACAGGGCACCCAGGCCAAGCCAGGUGGGCUCCAUCAUACAGGUAGUGAGGAGUCACUGCCAGGUGGGCUUUAUUCAUUAGUUUGUUUUGUUUCUUUUAGUAACGAAGACACAUGAUCAAAGUUGACCUUUGUAAGUGUUGCUGCAGCUGAACAAAAAGAUGGAUAAGACCAGUGUUUUAAAAAUUAUGUUGUAUAGAGCACUAGCCUCAGUGAGAUAUUAGUAGAACACACAGGCACACACACACACACACACACUCACACUAAGCCCAGAUUAUUCUGGCAAAUGCUGGGUUAAGCAAACUAAAAGAAACAUCUUUAGUGCUGGACUUCUCAGAACCUGGAAUGUCGCUAUAUGACUCAUAAAACAGCAAGGUUAAGACAGAACAUGUCAUUUUUUCCCAGAAAUGCUGAAACACUUUCCUUCCCUUGGCUUCAGUGUCACCUUCUUUCUCCUGGUUCUCCAUCAACCUCUUUGGCUGAUCCUUCUUGAUUUCCUUCUUGACAAUCUGCUGCUGCUCAGCCAUUCUCUUUUCAUUCCCCAUGGAUUUCUCAAGUGCGUUUCUAUUCCUGCAUUUUAAACUUUCCUUGUUUUUCCUGACACCUCUCCUUGUCUGACUCACCCCUGUUCUAAGGCAGGUGUUCCAUCUGUGUGCGCUUUUGGCACCCUGGGAUGCUCCCAGCAUGUUCCCUGCCACACUCCAUCAGGUUUUCUCCGCAGACUCUGUGAGGGCAGCAGCCUUGUCUCCACCAUUCCUUCAAUGCUCAGCACAUAACACAGAAGCUGACUCCAUAACAUUUAGUUGGCCAACUGAGACUAAAUAUAUGUUCCUCUAGAUCUUAAAAAGUUACAGAAACAUAGCACAAUAGACAAAAUAUUCUCUUUAGUCAGGAGUUCUCUAUAUAUGUACAACAGUUUGAAGUCAUUAUUAAAGCAAAGUGAAAGAGAAACUGUCACAGAAUUCCCCAAGAUAAAUUAUUUUGCUUUAGUCUUCAUCAUGUGAGAUAAUCAAGACCAUGUGUUAUUGUAAAUAUUUCUAGCUUACAACACAACGACCUGAUUUUUAUUGUGUGAAAUAACCGCAAUAUAAAUCAGUUAAUUAAAAAUUGCAUAAAUAAUCCUUUCAAAUAAAAUUCUGCCUAAAUUUUACAUUACUCAUAUGUUCAAAUGAUAAUGAGCUCAUAGGCUUUUCCAAUACCUCAGUCAAAACACUGUACUGAUUCCAGCUGUGGGAAUAGUAUCUGAAAGUUAUUUUACAGAUGGGGAACAGGUACUUACCUGACAUUGGCCUUUACACUACUGUGCCCUUUUAGGUCAGGAAAAAGCUGUUCCCUUAAAAUCCUAAAAUCUCUUCUGUCAGGUCUGAAGGGUGGGUGGGAAACACAGUUUUACAAAUUUUAGCCACAGAUGUUUUAUUCCUUGCUUAAAGCAGUGACUAGAUAAAGGCCACUAGAAGAGUCUCCAAUGUUUCUUUAGAAGCGUGUGCCUGAGAACAUCUUCCAGAAACACUCCCUUGUCUCUGCCCAAAAUCACCUUAGGUAGGAAAAUCAAAACUCAGCAGGCUGAGGGAUCCAAGGGGAUCACUGAGCUCUGAGUCUUAUGAGAGAAGAGAGAGAGGUCUAAGACUUUUUGUGUAUAAAUUUAUGGGUUCCAAGUGUAAUUUUGCUGUAAGCAUGGAUGGCAUAGUGGUGAAGUCAGGGCUUUUAGGUAUCCAUCACCAGAAUAAUGCACAUUGUACCCAUUAAGUAAUUUCUCACUGUUCACCCCUUCCAUCCCCUCACCCUGCUGAGUCUCCAUUAUCAUUCCACUCUCUACGUCAAUAUCUACACAUCUUUUAGCACCCGCUUAUGAGUGAUACAAUAUGAUGUUUACUCUGUGUCUGGCUUGCUUCACUUACAACAAUGGCCUCCAGUUCCAUCCAUGUGUCUGCAAAAGUUAUAAUUCUAUUGUUUUUUAUGCCUGAAUGGUAUUUCAUUGUGUAUAUUUUCUACAUUUUCUUUCUCCAAUCAUUUGUUGAUGGGUAUUUAGUUUCAUUUUAUGUCUGUGCUACUGUGAAUAGUGUUGCAACAAAUACACAAGUACAGUUAUCUUUCUGAUACAUUGAUUUCUUUUCCUUUGCAUAAAUACUCAGUGGUGGGAUUGCUGAAUCAGACAGAGCCAAUAGAUGAUCAGUAAUGGUGGCCAAUCAUCAGCUAGAAAGAAAGUGCUUAGCAGGGCUUGAAAACACCAAAACUCUGAGACCACUGACCUUCAAAAACUUCAACAGCCCUGAGUGAAAAGUCCAAACACAUUUAUCUACCAUUCGAAGACGCUUUAUUGUCUGUCCUCUGCACAUCUCAGUAGUCUCUUUUUACCACACUGUCUAUAUACUGCAUGAGCCAUUUAUAUGAAACUAUCUGACACUCCAAGGCAUCUUGUACUAUAUAUUCAACUAUGUAUCCCUAGUACCUAGCACAGUCCUGGCAUAUAGUUUGCUACUAAACUUUUACAGAAUGAAGGAAUUAUCUUGUAUCCAGGUUCCAAGUUUUAAGGUGAUUCUUCAGUAAAAAAAAGUAUUACAGUUCACAAAUAAUCUACUUCCCUUUUUACAAAUGGGAUCAAUUUUAAUCUUAUCUCCUAAUAACAUUACUUUCAUUUACUCUGAUCUAAAUAUACUGUCCUAAGAGAGCAAUAAGAAAGAGAGUUGAAGCUGGAGUUUGAAGAAUUGUACAUGGUCCUGUGAUACCCUACCUUGUUUUAACCUGAGUGACUCUCUCCUAGCGGAGAGAGAGCCGGACAGACUCCAUUUUAGUUUCUUCACGUGCAGCCCCCUUUACCUUCCACCCUUAAUUGCAUAACUAGUGUAAACUGACUCAAAGCAGGUCCAGGAAUGCACUUAGUGAUAAGAUAUUGAGGCAAGCUGCACCAGCUGCUCCUGGGUACGCACUCGGUGAAUGUCACGCAAAACCCCUGCAUUUCUCUCUUUGUGAUAGUUUAAGCCCCUGCACCUGGAACUGUUUAUUUGUUUUGUAACUGCUAUUGUAACCAAUUAAUAUUUUAACUAUUUGCCAGCUCUGCUUCUGUAAAACUUGUUUCAGCUAAACUCCCCCCUCCCCUAUUUAGACCACGGUAUAAAAACAAAACCAGCCCCUUCCUCGGGGCCAAGAGAAUUUUGAGCAUUACAUGCCUCUCGGUUACCGGCUAAUAAAGGACUCCUUAAUUUGUCUCAAAGUGUGGCAUUCCUCUAUAACUCGCUUGGUUACAACAGUCCACACUGUGGCCUGAGGUGCAUUGCCCACCUGAGCUUCAUCUGUUAUGUAUGUCAGGGAAUAUAAGCAGGGUGAGAGUGGCCUCAUCAGAGGACCCCAGAUCUCUGGCUUACCCAUCUGGCAAGUGCACCUCUGUGAGCAAAGACUUCAGAGCCAGGUGACAAGAAUGGCCCAAGCAGUCCACCAGGAAAACCUGGGCCCAGUGUACGUCAAUGCAGAGCAUCAAGCAUGGUGUAACAGGUGCACAGUUGCCUACUCCUGUUCAGAGAUGACUGCAUCCCACAUACCGUAAAAUGAGGAAAUGCAUAGAAGCAGAUGUAACUGAAGAAGACAGCAGAAGCAACAAGGAGGGACAACCAGGACCUAGGAGGGCACCAUGCCAGAGACGCCUGGACCCCAUGCUAGGCUCAGUGCCUGUUAUACUCUUGGGAGCCAGCACUUUCCCUCUCCAUCACAUGGCAUACUUGCCAUUAUUUGUUGUGUAAAAUAUUGUCCUUAGUUUUCACCUUUCCUAGGAGACACAGGCAGAGCCUGUGACACUACAGCUUCUGGCACACAGUAGGUAGGUGCAUCACAAACAUCUGCUGAGUUCACACACUCUUGCCUUCUCAAAACUUCUUGUCAAGUCUUCAGUGAAAAGGAAUUGCUGAUUGAGCAAGAAUUAAACUUCUAGAGACUCCUGGAUCCACUGAAGUUUGAGACAAGGUGAGAUUUGUUUACUGUCAUAUUCCUAGCUCAUAACAUAUUGUAGUCACUUAAAAAAGUUUGUUGAAUAAGUGAGUAAAUUGAUUCAUACGUCAUACUUAGCUAUAUAUUUUCUGAGUAGAAUUGAUAAAGUUAAUAGUUUAAGUCUAGUAUAAUUUUGCUUUACUCAUUCAAUGAACCUGACAAUUCAAAUAGGUGCCAGGCACACUGCUGCUGAAGAAAAAGAGGUAUAAGAUAUAAUUUCUGUCUACAAGAAAGCCACAGUCUAAAAAGUAGAAACAUAUGAACAAAUCGUAACAAUAAAUAGGCUAAAUUCAAAAUCAGAGGAGUUUGUUUCUAUUUUAAACAGCUCUAGUCAGGAAGUGUUAGAGAGUUCUAAACAGGAAAUAUUCCAACACAUCAUCUAAGCAUGAAGCAGGAGACACCCAUAAUUGAGUUUGCUGCCACCAACCCCAACAGCAAGAAUUCCAGUCCUGCUGCUGCAAAGUAAGUGUCACUCUGAUUUUAUUGCUGCUGUGUAACCCAGUUUUAGACUCUCUGGUUCUCACUUAAUGUUCUAAAAAAGUAUUAAAGAGAAAAUUUUAUUCUGGUGAUGAGCCCAUCCACUGCAGCCAUCUCAACAUCAUACCAAUUAUAAGCCUAUCAUUUAAAAAGAAAGCUGUUAGUUUAACUUAUUUAUCCAAAUAUCAGUAUUACAUAAACAUAUUUGUCAUCAGACUUUGGACUUAUGGGUUAAAUAGCAUAUAAAUAUGAUUAGAGCCUUAAAGUUUACACUUCUCUGGUUCGCUCAAAUUUUUUUCAAAAUAGCAUAUGCCUUUCUAAACAAUGGUUAGUAUAUUUUUCAAAAUGAACAUUAAAAUGUAUAUUUUCCAAAAACAAAAUACAGCUCCCAUUGGUAAAUGAUGCUAUUGAGACACAACAGACAACUUCUCUUGGGAACCAUUUAAUCAGUGCUCACUUUUGCACUCUUUCCAGAAAUGUCAAUGGUUUUGAAAUAUAGAAGUAUAUUAUACAAAUAAACUUAUACUUAUUCAGUAUUGUGCAAUAUUUAGUAUUUCUUCUAGCCAUCUCUUGCUGAAUAGUAAGCCAUUCCAAAACUUACGGAAUUAUUUAUUGUUUAAUAUUGUUUAUUGUUAUUAUUUGUUUAGUAAUUUUAAUAACGUUAUUUCUCAUGGUUUUGUGGGUUGAUGGGCACUACAAAAGUUCUCUUUUGGAGUCUUUCUUGCAGUUGCGGUUGGUUGGCUGCUGCUGAAGUCACCUGAAAGCUCAAUUAGGCUAAAGAGUCUAAACGGGUCACUUACAUGGCUGGCAGUGCAUAUUGGCUGCUGAGUGUGAUGCCUAUCUGACCUCUCCAUGUUACCUGGAGUGCUCACAACGUGGUAGUUUGUCCCAAGACACACAGGCAAAUACUACAAAGCUUCUUAGGGCCUAGCCUUGGAGGUCCUAGAAUACGACUUCUGCUGCAUCCUAUUGGAAAAGCAAGUCAUUGUGACCAGCACAGAUUCAAGAAAUGGGAGAUUCGACUCUACCUGUCAAUGUAAACAGCAGCAUGUGCAUGCAGGGAGGAAAGAAAUUGAGGGCAUCAUCUUGAAGACUAUCAUAUCACACCAUUAUUCCAACUAGUGAACAUUAUGUUUUAGAUGGGUAGUACUAGCUACUCAUCUGUCCCCCAGAAACCCAAGCUAAGCAUGGACAUAUUGAAGAGAAUGUCAACACCAUUAAAAAAACUCUAGAAAAAUCACAUGUGAUGACUGAGGUUAAUUCAGUCUGUCAACUACAUCAAUAUAAUUGCCUUCUUGUAACCCUAAGUAUGGUGAAGCAGAAUUGAAUUCUACAAAAGUCUUUCAUCUGUUUUCCUAUGGAAUAAUUAACAAACCCAAUAAAUGUAUAAAUAGC